CAACAACGGAUCUCUUGGUUCUGGCAUCGAUGAAGAACGCAGCGAAAUGCGAUAAGUAAUGUGAAUUGCAGAAUUCAGUGAAUCAUCGAAUCUUUGAACGCACAUUGCGCCCCUUGGUAUUCCGAGGGGCAUACCUGUUCGAGCGUCAU
rnacentral:rRNA from 1 species